AUGAACUGGGCGGCCUUGGGUAUUCCGUCCUCCAACUUGCAACAUCUGGACUUCCAGUUCAGUACUAAGGAGGUUAAAAGGGCAGUUUUUGAUAUCCAUGAUGAGAAGGCUCCGGGGCCGGAUGGUUUCAUCGGGGGAUUCUUCAAGAGGUUCUGGUCCUUGAUUGCUGACGACAUUUGCAAUGCACUGAACCAACUUCACCAGCUGCGGGGAGACUAGUGGAAGUUACUUAACUCUGCCUUGAUCGUUUUGCUGCAUAAGAAGGUGGACGCCACUAAAGUUGGAGAUUACCGCCCGGUGAGUCUCCUGCACAACAUUGCCAAGAUUGCCUGUAAGGUGCUUGCAAACCGCCUGGGUCCAGAGUUGCACAAAUUGAUCUCGCACAGUCAGAGUGCAUUUAUCUAGGGUAGGUGCAUUCAGGACAACUUCCUCUAUGUCUAG
rnacentral:rRNA from 1 species